ensembl:lncRNA
ACGCGUCUCUGCCUAGCUGUCUUUCUAUGUGCAACUCUCUGCCUAUCUGUCUAUCUACAACUCUCUGUCUAUUUGUCUGUCUACAACUCUCUGCCUAUCUGUUCAAUCUACAACUCUCUGCCUAUCUUUCUGUCUAUCUAUCUACAACUCUCUACCUAUCUGUCUGUCUACAACUCUCUGCCUAUCUGUUCUAUCUACAACUCUCUGCCUGUCUUUCUGUCUAUCUAUCUAUCUAUCUAUCUAUCUAUCUAUCUAUCUAUCUAUCUAUCUAUCUAUCUAUCUAUCUAUCUAUCUAUCUAUCUAUCUACAACUCUCUGCCUAUCUGUUAUAUCUACAGCUCUCUGCCUAUCUUUCUGUCUAUCUAUCUACAACUCUCUGUCUAUCUACAACUCUCUGCCUAUCUGUCUGUCUGUCUAUCUACAACUCUCUGCCUAUCUUUUUAUCUAUCUACAACUCUCUGCCUAUCUGUCUAUCUACAACUCUCUGCCUAUCUGUCUAUCUACAACUCUCUGCCUGUCUUUCUGUCUAUCUAUCUAUCUACAACUCUCUGCCUAUCUGUCUAUCUACAACUCUCUGCCUGUCUUUCUGUCUAUCUAUCUAUCUACAACUCUCUGCCUAUCUGUUCUAUCUACAACUCUCUGCCUGUCUUUCUGUCUAUCUAUCUAUCUAUCUAUCUAUCUAUCUAUCUAUCUAUCUAUCUAUCUAUCUAUCUAUCUAUCUAUCUAUCUACAACUCUCUGCCUAUCUGUUAUAUCUACAGCUCUCUGCCUAUCUUUCUGUCUAUCUAUCUACAACUCUCUGUCUAUCUACAACUCUCUGCCUAUCUGUCUGUCUGUCUAUCUACAACUCUCUGCCUAUCUUUUUAUCUAUCUACAACUCUCUGCCUAUCUGUCUAUCUACAACUCUCUGCCUAUCUGUCUAUCUACAACUCUCUGCCUGUCUUUCUGUCUAUCUAUCUAUCUACAACUCUCUACCUAUCUGUUUAUCUAUCUACAACUAUCUGCCUAUCUGUCUAUCUAUCUACAACUCUCUGCCUAUCUGUCUAUCUACAACUCUCUGCCUAUCUGUCUAUCUACAACUCUCUGCCUAUCUUUCUGUC